CUCCUUUUGGUUUUUGUGCUAGUUUUAUCCAAUCAUUAUUCUUCAUGGCAUGCAGUGAAUUUACUGCAUUUUGUAACAUGUUACACUCCCUUGACCUGAAUUUUGAUUAAUUACACUGAAUGGUAAUACCAAUGUUUCUAGUACUGAAGCUCUUUGUUAUAUCAACAGAAAGCAUAAAAUGUCAGAUUAAAUGUUCAGAAAAAAGAAAAACCCACUGAAGUGUUCGAGAAGGGAGAAUAAUGACCUUACAGAAUCAGACAAAAUCAUGUACGAUACCAUGAGACCUAUGGAUAAACUCAAAGAUGUUUUGCCUUGCAAUACAGAAUAUUAGUGCUGAUUUUCAGAAACACUGCAUAAAUUUCUCAGUCCUUUAUAAGGCAUAACAACAAAAAAUAACAUUAUAGAAUAACUUGUAAAUUUUUUUCUCUGUCUAACAGCAACUCUGUUAUACCCUCAGGUAUAAUAAAACAGGUAUUUGAUAUAUUCUGUGGACUAUGGAGUGCGAUCAGAUUAUUUUCUUACACCAGAGGACUGCGGUUACAAGUUACUGCCAGAUAUUGCUUCUCUGUGAUUUUUCUCAGGCCUUUUGGACUAUGUCCAUAACUCAGCAGGAUUAGUGGGAGCCACACUUUCCACUAUAGAGAAUGCAAGUGAAGCUAAGUGGCAUAGAAACAAGUUCAGAAAGCUGCAAGAGUUAAUUGCACACCACUGUUAUUAACACAAUUGAGUAUCUUUACUCUGCUGCAUUUACUAUAACUGUUUUCUCCCUGGUUAGGGGAAUAAAUAAUUUUAUGCUGUGAUUUGUAAAUACAUUAACAAUAACUUCUGGAAUGAUAUUUUCAGCAGUUACCUGCUUUUGUAACAAUUGUGGAAACACAGAUUAUGCCACGCUAAAGGAACUUGAGUGUUUAUGAAGAACAAAAAGUGUUUGAGCUCUUAAUAGCUGUAACUUGACUGCACUGGCAGUAAAUGGGGAUAUUCUGAAAAUAACAUAGAAUUAGAAACUAGGCAGGAGCAGAAAUUGCUGGUGAGGGUUAUUUUUCUCACAUCAAGAAUUCUGUGUUUCCAUUUUUGUUUGCUUUGUUUCUACUUACGUAAAAUAUGUUGAAGUUUGGGAUAUGGCGGAUUGCCUCUUGUUUAAAUUUUUGCAAUUCAGCCAACAGUUAAAGGUAAGCAGUCCUUAAAACCUCAUUUAGCUUUAGUAGCUUUCAGAGUGACGUUAACAGAACUCUUGUCAGCACCUUUGCUGUGUUAAAGUGCUGACACAAAGGAAGCUUGGGCUAGAUCAAAUAUGGAUUAUUUUUUCUUUCAAAACUGCUGUUCUCUUGUUUCCAUUGUACUUUGAUCAUUAUAGUCAAAUAGUUUCAAGCAUAUUCUUUUUCAGUGAGUUACUUAUUUUUCUUUCAGAUAUGGUGAGUUCAGAUAUGCAGUUAUGUGAUAUAGUAAAAGAUGGUCUGAGUUAACUGUCCUUUGGUAGAUUCACUAGUAGAUUCUAGUGAAUCUAUCAAAGUAUUCAAGACUCUCCUCAUCUUGCACUGUGCAAUGAAAUCUUCAGCUUCCUUUGCUGCCUUAAUGCCAGUGCAGAUGCUUCACCUUCUCUAUUCAGUAUGUCAGUACCAUGGCACGGGAGCUGGAAUUCUAUGAUCUCUGAGAUCCAUUCCAACCCAAGCCAUUCUAUGUUUCUGUUAUUCUAAGUAUCAUGACAGGCAGUCCAUUGAGAUUGUAGAAUUUCUUAAUUGCGGUCUUUGAGAUUUUUCCUUAUGUAAUCAGAAUUUUUCUUGCUACAGCUUGUGUCUGUUGCUUUUGGUUUGUCUGUCUUCACAUCAAAGUUGUACAGUUGCUGAUUGUUGAUAUCACAACCACAUGAAGGAAUACAUAGUAGUAGAAUACUGUUAAUUUGCACAGAUAAUUCUCUUCCUAUAAGUUUUUGCAGUAUGAGGCAAAUAUAAGCAAAGAUAUGUAUCCUCAGGAGUAUAUGCCUUUUCUUCCCUUGUGUUCCUGCUGUGUUUUUUCAGAUAACUUUAGAAUAUUUUGUGUGCCUAAAUUACAAGCAGUACUCAUUUGCUGUAAGUGUGAUUUCAAUGAUUCUUAUUUUCUCUCUUAAUCUGAAGUGAGCAAAUGAAGAGUCUGGUAUUAGUUGAAACAGAACAGAUGUUUUUAAUUGAUGAUGCUUGUUAGUAUCUAAGUAGAAGCUGACAGUAUGUGGGCAGAUAGGUUCUGCUAAUAAAUUCUAACCAAUGUAUGAACUCCAUUUAUCAGCCUGGAUAUAUUAGUAUGACUUUUUUGGGUGUUUGUUCUCGACCCAUAGAAGCCUUCUGAUACUCUGCCUCACUACAAGGUAUCACUCCAUUGAGAAACACGAUGGAAAACAAAAACAGCAAAGAAAAUGCAAGUUUCCCUUAGGGCAAUGACUUCUGCUUUUUAUGUAGCAGCCAUUUUCUGACAGGACACACAAUACUUUACUAAAAUUUCAAGUUCCUUAUGCAUUUUUUUUCAAGUGACUCCAUAUGUUUCAUGGAAGGCAUCCAGAGGUGUUUAUGCUCUUUUCUUCUUUGUUAAAGCAUUCCCUUAGAGGAACUGUUGCCUUACUCUGUGGCACUUCUACUUGGCUUACUUUGUAUGGAAUUACGGAGACUGGGAGGGAGUUGGGAGGUGUCAGUACUGCUACUUUUUUCAACAGGAGCAAAAAAUUGUGUUCUCUCAAAUCUUCCAUACUUAUGCAGACUUGAAAGCAGGAACAGAAAAUACAAGUACAGCUUCUUGUAAUAGUGUGUGGACUCUUAGAAGCAUCUAUUUUAAAAAUAGUAAAUAUUUAUCAAGACAAAAGCCUUGAAAAACUUUAACAUACAAAUAAAAAUAAUCUACUGAAAUCUGAUAGCUACAAAUAUAUAUUUAUCUGAAGCAGUCUUCAAAGUUGUAUAGAAAUGAGUUAUUCUUGACCUUUGUGAUGUCAACUUGGAACACUGUCCUUGAGAAUAUCUGUGAAAGAUUUUUACUUUGACAUAAUUUGAACAAGGUGGAAGAAAUGUCACUGCCAGUAACGAUAGACCUCUACUCUGUUUUGAAGAUAAAUAAGAAGACAGUGCUACAUAGAGUAACUUUAUAUAUAUUGUUUAAAGGAAGCUUGACUUUC
rnacentral:lncRNA from 1 species